AUCUUGUGGAAGAUCCCUGUGUACCUGAGACCUUCUAAGGAAAACUUGUCCUUGUGCAACAUUUAUUCUACUUUACUGCUGACUUUCAGAAUCCCUUGGGUCUCACAAAACAGAUAGGAUAGCCCAGUAUGCUUUGAAGACAAAAACAGUUAUUCUAAAAUCCACUUUAAUGUUUAUCUAUCAGAAAAAGCUUGAGAGAGAGAGGACAGGAGGAGCAAAGCAGCCUGGUUGCAACUCCUCUUGUCCAGACCAAAUCUCAUCUUGUGUAAUGAAAGCACUUUCCACUUGGCUACAUGAUAAUGUUUAUGUUUACAGUGGAGAUUUAUGGCUAGAAAUCUACAUUAAUUCUUAUUUACAGUAAAUACAAAAAAAAAAAAUCUCCUGUUCACUAGCCUAGUGGCUGAAACACUUACCCAACAUACACUCCAGUGCUUAGUGAAUCUCUGUGCAACUUUAUGAGAUGGAUUGAACUCAUUUUUGAAGACUAUUUAUUAGUUCUCCAGACAAAUUAAAGGACCCUGAUAAUUAUAAGUCCAAUUUUAUGCUUUCAUGUGGCUCCAUUAGGGACUUUUAUGGCUAUAAUAUCAUUACUGGUGUACAUUUAUUUAAUGCAAACAAUGGCUAUCAAUUAAAAUGAGAUUUAAGUGGAGCUUUGGGCAAAUAAAUUUUCCUUCUAAUAUGCAUCUGUAAUUAGAUUGCAAAAGGAUAUGGAUGCAUUGUAAUGGCUUAUUCUUUGAAGUUAGGUGGAUCCAAAUCUGGGACCCUUUCUGCCUGCAUGAAAGAAGCUGCAAUUCUGGAAGCAUAUGAACUGUUCCUUUGAGAGAUCACUUACACAAGCAUAAUACCCAAGGAUAUGGAACCUCAACAUCAGUCCUAAUAAGUUAUUUUUCUCUCUAUAAGCAAAGGGGAUGUGACCUGGCUUCCCAAAUGCCAUUGAUCUCCUGCUGCUUACUUUGUCAGCUGAUGAAUAUUACCACUGCAUGAAAAAUCUACAAAAUGUUUCACUUAAUUCACUUAAGUGAAGGAAGUUGAAGGGAGAUACAGGAAAAUAAAAAGAUCGGGAAAAACAAACAACUAAUAAAACUUUCAGAUAUAGCUGAAAGAACUUGGUUUGACUUUGUCAUAAUGAAAGGUCACAAUAACUGUAAUUUAUUGAGUAAUGCUUUUUCUGAUGUAUUCUUUAAUUUUUGUAGGAAUACCAUUUAGUGAUAGGUAAUAACAACCUAUUUUUUAAUCCACGUGUAUUCCUACCAAACUUUUUCCCUAUUCAUUCCUACAGUGAAAAUACUACUUAUACAAGUUAUAUCUGAGAACCAUGUGAAAAUGUAUUUUGUACCAGAUUCCUUUUUUCACAUUACAUCUGACU
ensembl:lncRNA